GACUUUCAGCAUAACUCACUAUUUUUCCUCUUGAAUUCAAAGGGGAAAGAAAUCUACAUCUCCAGUUCCUUCUUCUUACAACGGUGGAAUAAUGCAUCACAGAGCAAUGCACCUGAAAAAGUCCUUCAUUCUGUGUCAGAUCAGACAUAGUUGAGAUUCGUAGUAAGUGGGGCAGGACGGUAACAGUAAUUUUGACACCUGAGGUGAAAAACAGCAUCGACCUCCUCAACAAGACAAGGAAAGCCGUGGGUAUUCCAGAUGAAAAUCCAUUUAAUAGUUGCUAGGUCAAACAGACAGUCAAAUUUGCUAUGGAAGGCGACCCACCUCUGUCAAACCUUACAGAGAUAGCCAGUACCAAACUCAGAAAGUAUAUGGCAACCAUUUCCCAAGUAGUCUCUCUCAAAGGAACAGAGGUAGACCGACUAAGCAAGACACCUUGGUCAUGAAAUCCAAGUGCAUGGAGACUUCUACUGUCUUCACGAAUCUGCAGUUGAAAUUUCCAAAGUGAGCAAGCUUCUUCUUACAGUCGGUCAAGGUGAAACAAGAAAGUUCACAAGGAAAACACUGGCGGAAAAUGACUGAAAUGAGUAAGAUGCCUAGUUCAUAUGUUUUAUGUACAGAAGAAGAGAAGGAGGCAGUUUUUAAGCACCCUAGUUCAUUUUUUCCCCACCCUUAAUGACAACCCUUAAUACCUUGCUAAAAUUCAACCUCAAUAGCUGCAAGGACAACAAAAAACAGUAAUUCAUGAUAAUUAAGGGGUGUUUUGCUGUUUCCAAACAUCUCCAAUAUUUUAAAAAAAACUUACCGUCACAGUUUGCGUGGGUACACUGUGAUUCAACGACAAAUAGAAUAUGUUAAAUUCUACCAUAAAUUUUUGGAUAUAGGCCAAUCCCAGAAUACCCCCCCACAGUGUAAGCUACCAAUCCUCCAUUAAAUUGGCUUUGUCAAGUGUAAAAUGAUAUACACUGUAGUAUUGACAUCAAAACUUUUAAAAGUCUUGGAAUCAAUAUGUUAUCCACUUGUAAUUCCAACUCAAAAUUUUAUAAUUGGACAAAAUUUAAAAACAAGCUUCCUUAAAAAUAGGAUUUUAGGGUUGUGUCCAGAAUUUUUACAUUAUUUCAACUUUCAGUCAUUUAUAAUUAUGGAGGUAGAUUUCAGUAUUACACAAACUAAGAGUGCUCUAUUUAGCUCUUGAUUGGAGUAUUAAGAUAUAACCAAUUGAAAGGGUUUGGCAUCACAUAUUUAACUUUGUCAAACAAUGACGUUAUUGAGAAAACUAAACUUUUAGAAUUGUAUUUUAAAAGCAAAUGGUGCAUUUAGUGCAACACUUGCUUUUAAAAUACAAACAACUUAAGGACCGGCAUGCUGUUUAAUACUUUGUGAAAAAUCAGAUUGACAAGAGAAAGCAGGUUCUUGCCCCUAAGUAUAGCUAAUAGAAUCGUUCUGUUUUUGUUAUCUCAAAGUAUAAGUAAUCCUGUGCAAGGUAACCUACUGUUUUGCCAAACUCUUCCAAUCUCAGGGCUGUCACAAAGAUCUCAAGUUUCUGGGUAACUACAGAAAGAAGGCAGGAAAUUAAGCAGCUAGGGAUUUCCUUUUUGGUUCUAUUUUUAUUCUAUCCUCUAUGAAAGUGGCCAGUGGUCAACUUCAUAGUCGCUAAGGAAACUCCCUGGUCCCCUGCCCUUGAUGACUACCCUGUUACCUUGCUAAAAUUUCACCCCAAGAGCUGCAAGGACAACAAAAUACAACUGAGAUAAUUAGUAUAUUCGUUAUGAUGUUGGACAUAAUUGCUAAUAUUAUGAUAGUUAAGGGGUGUUUUGCUUUGCAUUUCCCAAUAUUUAAAAAAAUUACUAAUAGUCAAAGUUUGUGUGGGUCUCCUGAUUCAAAGGCAAAUAGUAUGUUCCAGUUGCCUCAAUUUUCUUCAAAAGUAAUAGAGCUCCCCUUUAUUUUAUCAAUCAUUUUAAAAAGUUUCUAUAGAUUCUCAUCACGUAAUCACUGUUACCGAAGGUGAGCCCUACCAAGACUUCUUAUAAAUACUCCUGCGCUUACAGUUUUAGUGAAUUGUAUAAUCCGCCAGGAUCUAAGGCUCCUGCAAAUGUUUGGGUUAUACUGUUAUAAAAAAUACACCCUGAACAUUUGGAUAUAAGCCUAUAUUAAAGUACCCAACCUCAAUAUAAGCUACCAAAUUCUCAAAUUUAUACAUCCUGAUAGUAAGCUCUGUAGACCUUACAUACCCGCCAAUAUUCUUAAUAUGACUAAACAGAAUUUUUUUUUAUCCAUAUCAUUACUGUUUGGUUAAAGGGUGUAGUUUCAGCCAGUAUUGCAUUAUAGCUUGUAACCACUGAUCCGGCCUUGUUAAGUUAUAAAUAUAUACAAUGCAGUAUUGUUAUAUGUAUUUUGCAAAAUAUUAGAAGCAAUUUGCCAUCCAUUUGUAGGCCUAACUAGUUUUUAAUUGGUCAAUAUCUUCUUUCCAACAAAAAGCUCCUAUGAAAUUAUGAGCUAAGGGUUAUAUCCAGAAUUUUUACGGUUUUUAAGUCUCUUACACUUGAUCAUCGAUAAUUCCAGAGGUGGAUUUUAGUAUACACUAACUAAGAGUGCUUCAUUUCUGGAGUAUAAGCAAAAACAAUGAGAGAGUUUUGCAUAAUGAUUUUAACAAAAAAAACUUAUAACUAAAGUGGUUAAAUUGAACUGUUAUUGAUCAAGCAUUGUGAAACCAACAUCAGAGGGUUGCGCAAACAAACUACGUCUCAAGUUAAAUUUUAGUAUCUCAUUAGCAUACAAUUUUAUUGCCAAUCUCACUAAAAAGAUGCCUGCAACAUGAGAUGCAGAAUAUCUGCUCUACUCACUAGUGAGUGGCUUUGGUUGAUAACUCUCCUGUGACAGUUAAAUAGACAUCGCUGCUUUAAAUUAUAUUAAAGUGUUACAGUUACAUUAAUUUCAAACUUCUCUUGCCUUCUUUUUUUGUGAAAAACCACCUGAAGUUCCAAGAUUAUGAGGAGGGCUUACCAGUCUGGCCUAUAUAUAUGCUACGUGUAGGAUGGAA